ACAAUAAGCUAAUUAGGUCUUUUCACUUUUCUGUGGAAAGACCUAUUGUUUUUCUUCUGAUUAUUUUUUUUUUUCUUCCGCCAAAUUUUGUUCUUGCGAUAAACAUUUGUUUCGCAAUAUGUCGCUUAGAUAUUUGGUAUAUGAUAUCGACCAGUUUAUGCGCUUUUGAAAUUUACCCUGCGUAACCGAAUACUUUUCUUUGUAGGAGUUAUCUCCCCAAACACUGUUUUCCUUGUUAUCACAACUCCUUCGCAACCGUAAAAGAUUACGACAAAUUUAUUUUAUAAAAUUGCUCGUU
rnacentral:lncRNA from 1 species